rnacentral:rRNA from 1 species
GACGAACGCUGGCGGCGUGCCUAAUACAUGCAAGUCGAACGCUUCUUUCCUCCCGAGUGCUUGCCCUCAAUUGGAAAGAGGAGUGGCGGACGGUUGAGUAACACGUGGGUAACCUACCCAUCAGAGGGGGAUAACACUUGGAAACAGGUGCUAAUACCGCAUAACAGUUUAUGCCGCAUGGCAUAAGAGUGAAAGGCGCUUUCGGGUGUCGCUGAUGGAUGGACCCGCGGUGCAUUAGCUAGUUGGUGAGGUAACGGCUCACCAAGGCCACGAUGCAUAGCCGACCUGAGAGCGUGAUCGGCCAGCUUGGGACUGAGACACGGCCCAGACUCCUACGGGAGGCAGCAGUAGGGACUCUUAGGCAAUGGAGGAAAGUCUGACCGAGCACAGCCGCGUGAGUGAAGAAGGUUUUCGGACCGUAAAACUCUGUUGUUAGAGAAGAACAAGGACGUUAGUAACUGAACGUCCCAUGACGGUAUCUAAACAGAAAGCCACGGCUAACUACGUG